GUGGUUUUCUAAGUCAAUAUGUACCAAUAAGAGAUCAUUUCAUGUGGUUUAGUGGCCCCUGGGUCUAUUUGAGUUUGACAUCACUGGCCUAGAGCACUGAGAUGGUAACCAAGAACUAGAUGGGAUCUCUUAGAACUUAGAUGGGACCUGUCCAUUGUCAUUCAGGCAGUAUGAACCCAGAGUCUCCUUGGCUUUGAGGACAGCUCUCCAAGCACUAUACUGCUGCCGCCUCCUCCUCCUCCUCCUCCUCCUCCUCAUCAUCAUCAUCAUCAUCAUCACCAGCAUCACCAGCAUCAUCAUCAGCAUCAUCAUCAUAGUCUAUCAUCAAUUAGAAGAUAAUAAUAAUAAUCAAUUAUUAUUAGGAGAGGGCUACCCCAUCAAACAGCCCAGAGCCAAAAAUACCCACCAAGAAGAUUGCUGUGCCUGGGCCUUUUCUGCUUGCAAAGAGAGCAGCCUACAAGCUUCCUUGCAUGCAGUAGAAUGUUGUCUGUCUGCCAGUUAAAUGGUUCUGUCUCCACCAACUGAUUUAGGCACCAUUUUCCCAGCUUCACGGAGAAGCAUGUAGCAAUCUCUCUCUGGGAAAGAAGAGAGACAGUGAAAAAGCUCUGGCUGCUAUUCUCCUAAUUUUCUUUCCCUAAUCCCUUCCCCUGUUCAGAGAGAGAUAAUCUUUGUUUAUCUUUCUUGAUCUUUCUGAAUCUCUCUAAUACAUUUCCAUAAAAGCUUUGAUGUUUUUUCCCCCUGACACCAAUUUCCACAUCUUUCUUUUAAAGCGGUAACUUGGAAUUUUUAAAUUUCAUUUUCUUAAGUUAAAGAGCAUCAGAGUGUCGAAAUGGAUACAGCACUGGACCUGGAGGCAGGAAGACCUGAAUUCAAAUCCAACCUCAGAUACUUCCUAGCCCUGUGAUCCUGGGUAAGUUACUUAACCCUAUUUGCCUCAGUUUCCUCAUCUAUAAAAUGAACUGGAGAAGGAAAUGGCAAACCAGUACAGUAUAUUUGCCAAGAAAACCCCAAAUGGGGUCACAAAGAGUUAGUCACAACUAAAAUGACUAAAUAAAAACGACAAAGUAAUUCA
rnacentral:lncRNA from 1 species